UAGGGAAUCUUCCGCAAUGGGCGAAAGCCUGACGGAGCAACGCCGCGUGAGUGAUGAAGGUCUUCGGAUCGUAAAACUCUGUUAUUAGGGAAGAACAAAUGUGUAAGUAACUAUGCACGUCUUGACGGUACCUAAUCAGAAAGCCACGGCUAACUACGUGCCAGCAGCCGCGGUAAUACGUAGGUGGCAAGCGUUAUCCGGAAUUAUUGGGCGUAAAGCGCGCGUAGGCGGUUUUUUAAGUCUGAUGUGAAAGCCCACGGCUCAACCGUGGGGGGGCAUUGGAAAAUGGGAAACUUGAGUGCAGAAGAGGAAAGUGGAAUUCCAUGUGUAGCGGUGAAAUGCGCAGAGAUAUGGAGGAACACCAGUGGCGAAGGCGACUUUCUGGUCUGUAACUGACGCUGAUGUGCGAAAGCGUGGGGAUCAAACAGG
rnacentral:rRNA from 1 species